AUUGAACGCUGGCGGCAGGCCUAACACAUGCAAGUCGAACGAGUGGCGGACGGGUGAGUAAUGUCUGGGAAACUGCCUGAUGGAGGGGGAUAACUACUGGAAAAGGUAGCUAAUACCGCAUACCAUCGGAUGUGCCCAGAUGGGAUUAGCUAGUAGGUGGGGUAACGGCUCACCUAGGCGAAGAUCCCUAGCUGGUCUGAGAGGAUGACAAGCCACACUGGAACUGAGACACGGGCCAGACUCCUACGGUAGGCAGGAGUGGCGAAGUUUGCACGAUGGGCGCAAGCCUGAUGCUGCCAAGCCGCGUGUAUGAAGAAGGCCUUCGGGUUGUAAAGGACUGUCAGCGGGGAGGCGUUACCCGCAGAAGAAGCACCGGCUAACUCCGUGCCAGCAGCCGCGGUAAUAC
rnacentral:rRNA from 1 species